CUUGGACAAUAUCUGAGAUAUGCAUUUCAUAUUAAGAGUUUUUGGAGAGUUAAAGAAUGGAUAUAUAGACAAUGGAAUUAUAUUCUAAGUGCAAAAAACGAACAAAGUGAUGUCGUUAUUAGUGAUUGUGUUGCUUCAAACUGUGAAUUAUAAUCAAAUGUGUGUUCAGAAAUAUAUUCGAUUUCAUUGUGGAUUACAAAACGGAUAUAGUUCUAGCAGCUAAAAAUGAAAUUAGGAGGUAUGGUAUGAUUGCAUUUGACAUUUAUCAAGCAGAGACCAAAUGGCAAGGAAGUUAGCAACUAAAGAUCACACAGUCUUCUACAGUGGGCAAAAUCUAUAUGGUAUAGAAAGCUGGAUUUUCCAUGUGGCAACCAGCAAAGCAAUUGAAGAUUGUUAAAGAAAUCUUCAACCAAGUCAGAAAUUACUCUACAGCUUUACCUAGAAAAUAUG